GAUACAAUGACUAAAGUGGGUAAAGGCAAAUAAUAAAACAGCUAAACAGUCUGGUUAGUUCAGAAAAUGUCAUCAAUCAUUUAACUGUAAUGCAGCCUUUAAAACCAGGAAAAUUCAACACGUGUCAUAUUACGAUACCCAAAAUCUAAGUUGAUAUCUAGCC